rnacentral:rRNA from 1 species
CCGGCACGGGUGAGUAACACGUAUCCAACCUGCCGUCUACUCUUGGACAGCCUUCUGAAAGGAAGAUUAAUCCAGGAUGGCAUCAUGAGCCCACAUGUUCUCAUGAUUAAAGGUAUUCCGGUAGACGAUGGGGAUGCGUUCCAUUAGAUAGUAGGCGGGGUAACGGCCCACCUAGUCGACGAUGGAUAGGGGUUCUGAGAGGAAGGUCCCCCACAUUGGAACUGAGACACGGUCAA